ACAGUUUUAAUAUUUGAGGGAUUUUGAUCUCAUUUUGCCUUAUUAUUUUUCUCAAUGUACUUAUUACCAGUUUGUUGGUAGGUUCCUUGAGUUAAGUGAAACAUUGAGGUUUGGAACAACACCCAAGUUUCACAAAGCCGCUAUACUAACUGAUGUUAUUCGGCAAGUAAAGCUGUUACGUGAAGAAACUUGUAACUUAACCAGCCAAAAUGGCGAAUUAAAAGAAAAGAUUAAUGAAUUGAAGGACCUACUUUGUUUGCUCCUGUAGUUGAGAUGGCCAUGACAAUUGUUGAGGAGAGUGGAGGACGAUACCAUGUUUUACUCAUUAUUGCAGAUGGAUUAAUCGAAGACACUCGUAAAUCAUCAAGCAAUUAGUAGAAGAUAGAGAGAAACAUGAUUCCAUUAGUUUUAUUUCCUUGGAGCUAUUGUGUAGUUUUUUUCUUUUUAAUUGUAUAUAAUAAUAGUGUAAUGGAGUACUACUAAGUUUUGAUUUAUUUGGUUUUUUCUUGUAUUUGACUUCACCUUUAUCAAUUAAAGAUUGAAUUUAGUUUUAUUGAUGAUGAAUAUAGCUUGUGGUGAUCAGGUGAA